rnacentral:SRP_RNA from 1 species
CCAUACCAGCCGGGGGAUUAGCGGAACCCUGUACCUGAAAUCCGCUACAGCAGGGGUGGACUCCUCGCUUGAGGGCCGCGUUUCUCGGAAUUGAGUCGUAUUCUGCUGUGUUGACGAGUGGGUCUUGCGCAAUGAAGAACUGUGAACCAUGUCAGGUGGGGAACCAAGCAGCAUUAAGCGGUAAACUUCAUGUGCCGUGAGGGCGCCUGCUCUGAGCAGUGGGUACGAAGAUCGCCCGGAGAUAAGGCUCGAUUUUGAGGUGUAUGG